rnacentral:rRNA from 1 species
ACACAGAGGGUGCACGCGUUAAUCGGAAUAACUGGGCGUAAAUCGCGCGUAGGUGGUUCAGUAAGAUGGAAGUGAAAUCCCCGGGCUUAACCUGGGAACUGCUUUCAUAACUGCUGAGCUAGAGUACGGUAGAGGGUAGUGGAAUUUCAUGUGUCGCGGUGAAAUGCGUAGGUAUAGGAAGGAACACCAGUGGAGAAGGCGCCUACUUGAACUGAUACUGAAACUGAGGUGCAAAAGUGUGGGGAGCAAACAGGAUUCGAUACCCUGGUAGUCCACGCCGUAAACGAUGUCAACUAGCCGUUGGGAACCUUGAGUUCUUAGUGGCGCAGCUAACGCACUAAGUUGACCGCCUGGGGAGUACGGUCGCAAGAUUAAAACUCAAAUGAAUUGACGGGG